GGGAGGGGAGAGUGGUGUGGAGGACCGAGUUAGAGGAAAAGUUAUGUGCAUUCAGGAGAAAGCAGACUCUGAAUUCUGAUCUUCUGCGGGGCCUGUGAUAACAGUGUCGCCCCAGCCCUCAGGUGGUCAAACAUAAUUGUUAACUGAAUACUGAAGCGAAGAAACAUUUCAAGUGGGCUUUAAGCAGGAAGAGUUUUCACGGCCCAAAGUGAGAGUGAUCGUCUUCAGAAGAAGGGCAGGCAUAGAAGAAUAAAAGCCCUUGAUGAACAUGCAGAGGCAAAGAACUGAGAACCAACUCUUCGAAUGAAAACCAUUUCCCUCCCAUGUCAGUAUCCA